ACCACCCAAAGCUCUUCCUCCUCUCAUUUUUCUCAAAAUAUGCACUCCUCUUUUUUCUUCUUGGGAUAGAAAAGAGCAAUCAAUCAUUGAUGUCCUUGAAAGAAAAUAUAAUUACAAAAGACAAAAAAUAAAGAACUUUAUUUCAACUUUGAUUUGAGGGCUUUUUUAUUAGAGGUUGAGAUGUCUUUCCCCAUUCUUCCGGUGGGCUCUUCACCUCCAUUAACAAUGCCACUACUUCCUUCAUGGUGGGCCGCUCUGCUGGUGAGGAGUUGACGCAAAACAUUGCAAUUCCUAGUGUUUGAAGCAUUUCUUGAACCAUCUGAUCUGGUAAACCUUGAAGCUUUGCAUCUAGUAUUGAAGUAGCUGGUUCAAAACUCGCCAUCUUUCUCUUCACCCACUCAACUAUGUGUAGCCCAUCUCCAACUUCAGAUUCCACAGCACUGCGACCACUUAGAAUCUCUAGCAACACCACUCCAUAACUAUAAACAUCACUCUUUUCUGUUAUGUUCAUGCUGUAUCCAUACUCUGGGGCAAUAU
rnacentral:misc_RNA from 1 species